AUUGAACGCUGGCGGCAGGCCUAAUACAUGCAAGUCGAGCGGAUGAAGGUAGCUUGCUACCUGAUUCAGCGGCGGACGGGUGAGUAAUGCCUAGGAAUCUGCCUGGUAGUGGGGGACAACGUUUCGAAAGGAACGCUAAUACCGCAUACGUCCUACGGGAGAAAGUGGGGGAUCUUCGGACCUCACGCUAUCAGAUGACCCUAGGUACGAUUAGCUAGUUGGUGAGGUAAAGGCUCACCAAGGCGACGAUCGUUAACUGGUCUGAGAGGAUGAUCAGUCACACUGGAACUGAGACACGGUCCAGACUCCUACGGGAGGCAGCAGUGGGGAAUAUUGGACAAUGGGCGAAAGCCUGAUCCAGCCAUGCCGCGUGUGUGAAGAAGGUCUUCGGAUUGUAAAGCACUUUAAGUUGGGAGGAAGGGCAGUAAGUUAAUACCUUGCUGUUUUGACGUUACCGACAGAAUAAGCACCGGCUAACUUCGUGCCAGCCGCCGCGGUAAUAC
rnacentral:rRNA from 1 species